GAUGAAUCUAUUCUGAUGCAGAUUCGUGGCAAAGAUUGUGUGGCAGUCGAGGCUCGGUACCACUAUAGCUGCUAUAGAGCAUAUACUCGCUUCCUUUCCAAGAAUCAACCUGAAACUGUGAGUGGGCGGAAGUCGUCAUUUGAUGCCUCAUACAAGGUCUUCUGUGAUGCUGUGAUUUUUAAGAGGAUUUUGGAAAACCAAGAAAUUUUCCAGAUGACCACUCUUCUAAAGACCUUCAAGAAAACUGUCCAGAAUCAUGAGUCAUUGGAUGCUUCAAAUUACAGG